UACGUAGGGUGCAAGCGUUGUCCGGAAUUAUUGGGCGUAAAGAGCUCGUAGGCGGUCCGUCGCGUCGAAUGUGAAAACCCGGGGCUCAACUCCGGGCUUGCAUUCGAUACGGGCGGACUAGAGUUCGGUAGGGGAGACUGGAAUUCCUGGUGUAGCGGUGAAAUGCGCAGAUAUCAGGAGGAACACCGGUGGCGAAGGCGGGUCUCUGGGCCGAUACUGACGCUGAGGAGCGAAAGCGUGGGAGCAAACAGG
rnacentral:rRNA from 1 species